rnacentral:lncRNA from 1 species
CAGGUCCCCAGCGGCAGGAUGGAACAGAGAGAAUUGGGGUCCCAAGAUAUUCUGUCCCUCUGUCGGGCUCCUUCGCCCAAGUCGAGGGCCCGAGCCUCAGCCACCUAGGCUUCUCGGCGGGCAGCCCCAGUUCUGAGUUCCUUCCACCGCCUCCACCUUCCUCCUGGUGCCGGCUGUCUGCGCGACCCUCGCCGCCUUGGAUCGUCCCGCGGUCCUUAUGGCGCCCUAGCCCGCAAUGUCGGGACCUGGGCUCGGAAGGCGGGAACGACGGCUUUGGAGAAGCAGGCGACCCAGAGGGGCUGCUGAGGCGACAUUUGCUUUUUCGGGGGUGCUCUCUUGGGAAGAGACCUGGGGUGUGGGAUAGGGGCCGGGAAGGAACAGCAGAGCCCUCCUCCAUCCCCUCGCCCCCGGGUGGGUCCGGAGCUGCAGGCGUGCUCCCGGGGUUCAGGGCGAGCACUGCUAGCGGGUCUCUGGAAACUGCAGCCUUCAAGAACUGUGGCCACAGGCCACAGAUGAGGAAACUGGGGGCCUUUGGAUUUGGAUUUGUUCUAGCCACUUCUUUCAGGCCCGUUGGAGACGGGGGCUCCUCAAGAGGGCGGGGCCGGGCGUGGACCCUCUGGGUGGGCGUGCCAAUUUGCUGAAUCAGCAUCCCCUGCCCCCUUUGCUGGUGUGGCCUGAAGCCCUGGUGAAUGUGACUUGCUUACAGAAGCCGCCUGUUGCCUGCAUAGCACUGCGGGGGGUGGGGUGGGGGUGUGGAGAGAGAACCUUCAGCUCCCUUCUCACCUUCUGGAGCCUCCGUUUCCCCAUCUGCAAAAUAAGAAUGACGGGUAGUGUCUCCUGCAUUGAGAUGGGCCAGGAUUAAAUGAGAAAACGAAUGGGCAGAGCCUGGAGGCUGGUGAGGCCAGUGUUUUAGAGAAGCCUAUUUUUUGCCCACUCAGCAGCUUCUCCACCUUUGCCAAGUAUAGGAAGGAAACCCAGUGAUCCAAUCUUCCACCAAACCACUUGGCAAAUUCUCCCUUGUGUCCUCCUGGAAAGAUUGGCAAGAGGUAGGGUCAGGCCUGCAUCUCUGCCUGCCAUCCAGUGCUCACUACCCUGGGUCCCUGUACUGCCUCUUCCUUAAUUCAUUCCAGCCAGGGGGUCUCCUGCCUGUGGCUGAGCUGGAUGGUUGCUCAAGUCUGAGCAAAUCCCAGGAAUGGUUGUGCUUUUCCCUGUUGCUGUGCAACAUCUGGGGACAGGUGACUGAGACUCAGGGUUCUCAUACAGAAGAGAGGACAGAGCCUCUGUCCAGGCAUAGCCCAGAUCCUACCAGCCCAGGAGCCCCAUUCUGGGCUAUAGGUUCUGUGACCUCCCAUUCGUAUCUGACCCUAGCGGCCAGUCUCCUGGACACAUGAGCCCGCGUGGGACCCCACCCCUCCUUGUUUUCCCUCGCUCUGUCUUCUGCAGUCCUGCUGCUUAAGAACUGGGUUCCUCUGUGGAAACGAACCUGACUAGUAUCCAUGAGGAUGCAUGUUCAAUCCCUGGCCCCGCUCAGUGGGUUAAGGAUCUGGUGUUGCCGUGAGCUGUAGUGUAGGUCGCAGACAUGGCCCCCAGCUGCAGCUCCAGUUCGACCCCUAGCCUGGGAACUCCCAUAUGCCACACUUGUGGUCCUAAAAAAAUAAAAAUUAAAAAAAUAAAUGAUUGAAUUGGUAAAUGAGAAGAGACAAAGAGACCUGUGCAGAAAAAUUCCAAAUAAUUUGUGUGUAGACUUCUUUUUUUUUUUUUUUUUUUUUUUUUUUUUGCUUUUUAGGUCUGAACCCACAGCACAUGGAUGUUCCCGGCUAGGGGACAAAUCUGAGCCGCAGCUGCCGGCCUACACCACAGCCACAGCAACUCAGGAUCCAAGCCCUGUCUGUUACCUACAUCACAGCUCACAGCAAGGCUGGAUCCCCAACCCACCAAGCGAGGCCAGGGAUCAAACCCGGAUCCUCAUAGAUACCAGUUAGAUUCCUUUCCCCUGAGCCAUGACGGGAAUUCCUGUGUGUAGACACCUUGCCCUCGAGGAGGUGGAGGAAAACUGCCCCCCCUUGGAUACGGGCUGUGCAGAGUGACUUUCCUCCCAAGAGCUCAGUGUGAGAAGGGGGAAGCAGGAGUGACUUUGUCGUGGAGCAAACUGCCCGUCCCUCCUCAGCCAGGAGAUCAAGGUCAGCACCCACCGUGAGCAGUCAUGUUGAUAGGAGGCACCCUUCCCAGGGCAGGAUGCAAAAGUGGCACCGGACCUCUGCGCUCUUCUCCCCAAAACCCACAACCCUGGUCUAAUGAGGAGGGAAACAGCCAACAAAUCCCAACAGAGGGUCGACCCACACAACAUCUGAUGGCUGUCGAGGUCAUCAAGACCAAGGAAAGUCAGAGAAACCAUCAGAGCCCAAAGCAGCCUAAAGAGACGUGAUUAAAUAUAACAUGAGCUCCUAGACCAGGCAAAGGGCAAGGAAGUCUAAAUAAGGCAUGGACUUUGACUAAUGAUGUAUUAUUGGUGGUUCGUUAAUUGUAAGAAAUGCAUCAUACUAAUAUAAGAUAAUACAGUAUAUGGGAUUUCACAAUUUUUCUGCAAAUCUACAACUUUUUAAAUUAAAAGUUCAUU